UCCGUAGGUGAACCUGCGGAAGGAUCAGUCUUGAUAACACAAGCUGAUGUGCAUCUGAUGCGUCACCGCUCAAUGUGCGUUGGGGGAGCCAUCAUUCCAACAAGGUGGUGGUUUCUAAUCCCUUCUGUGGCCUUGGGUCACGUUAAUUGGCGCGAGAGCUUAUGCUCCGCCCCGUGCUUCAAAUGUUCGAGUCGGGUUUGAAGCGCGUGUCCUUACCGAACAGUGUAAACAAAUGGGACACCUUAUUAUUCGCUGGGUUGCGAGACCUGCGAGGCCACGGCCACAUCAUCAAUACAACUACUAUAAACAUACAGUUAAUUACAACUGGUAGCGUUGGAUCCCUCGGCAUGGCUAUCGAUGAAGAACGCGGCCAGCUGCGAAAUGUGAUGUGAAUUGCAACUCAAAGCGGUUAUCGUGAAUCAUUGACUAUUUGAACGCAUUGCACCGCCCUUAUGGGAGUGGUACACCCGAUUGAGAGUCAUAAUGUCCUUCAGAUCAGGAUACUUGGCCAUUCACUUGGCAGAUGUAGCUGUGGUGCAAGCACUCUUUUUGGAGGGUGUGGAAGCACGGUUGUAUGGGUAUCUUGAUUCUGGUGUCGAGGCUGCACGGUGUCUUCCGACAUUGCGCGCCUCUAGAUGCAUUAGCGGCGACUGCGAGUGGCGAGUCAGACUCUGUGUAAUAAUCAUUUCACGCGGAGGAGUGCAUCUGCACACUUGUUGUUUGUAGCGUGGCUUCGAACCCGCCCCCGGGCAAACCCGCAAAGGCCCUACAGCCUGCGCGACAUUAACAGAAUUGGCCUCAAUUGGGUGGGAUGACCCGCUUGAUUUA
rnacentral:rRNA from 1 species